UAUAAGUACUGCAUAUCCUCUCUGGCACAACCGCACUUCCCCCAUAUCAAACUCAGUAGAGAAAGAACAGAAAAGAAAGUACACUUGAUACCUCUUCCAACACCAUCGAUCAUGGGUGCGAGAAAUGCUACCAUCUGCCUCGUGCUGAUCCUUGUGUUAUUCGCGAAUCUUGGUGCUGCAGAAGAAAAGUGCUGGGAAAGUACCUCUGGCAGUCCACUCUGCAUAGGCUUUCUGUGCAAGGCGACAUGCUUCAUUGCGGGCAAAAUGUUUAAUUCUGUCGUCAAGGAACACAGAUGUAUAGGGUCAGCAUUCAACAGCCAGUGCUACUGCUAUCUGUGCGACAAAUAGUUUGUUAGGGUGGAACCGAAGAUUGCUUCACUAUUAGAAAAUGGUCAAGGAAACCUAGGGGAAUAGUUUGUUAUUUCUUGGUUUAGAAUAUAAAGGGAAUGGAUAAUUUAUCCUCGUUGUCAA